GAUGAACGCUGGCGGCGUGUCUAAGGCAUGCAAGUCGAACGAAAGCUCACCGCAAGGUGAAUAUUGAGUGGCAAACGGGUGCGUAACACAUUGGUAAUCUACCCCGCAUUGGAGGAUAGCUCACCGAAAGGUGAAUUAAUACUCCGUAUAAUCAGUUGUCAUAUGAUGAUUGAUGAGAGCCCAAAAGGCGAUGUGGGAGGAACCUAUGUCCUAUCAGCUUGUUGGUGAGGUAAUGGCUCGCCAAGGCUACGACGGGUAGGGGGCGUGAGAGCGCGACCCCCCUCACUGGGACUGAGACACUGCCCAGACUCCUACGGGAGGCUGCAGUCAAGAAUAUUCCUCAAUGGACGAAAGUCUGAAGGAGCGACGCCGCGUGCAGGAAGAAGGCCUUCGGGUUGUAAACUGCUUUUUUUCAGGGACGAACACUGACGGUACCUGAAGAAUAAGAGGUUGCUAACUCUGUGCCAGCAGCAGCGGUAAUACAGAGACCUCAAGCGUUAUCCGGAUUUAUUGGGCGUAAAGCGUCCGCAGACGGUUUGGUACGUCUUGCGUCAAAUGUUGUGGCUCAACCACAACACUGCGUGGGAUACGGCCAAGCUCGAGGUUGGGAGAGGUAAGCGGAAUUGCCGGUGUAGUAGUAAAAUGCGUUAAUAUCGGCAAGAACACCAAUUGCGAAGGCAGCUUACUAGAACAAACCUGACGUUCAUGGACGAAAGCGUGGGGAGCGAAAGGGAUUAGAUACCCCUGUAGUCCACGCCCUAAACGAUGGAUGCUAGGCAUUGGAAGUAUCGACCCUUUCAGUGCCGGUCACCUAAGGUAACCCCUUAAGCAUCCCGCCUGGGGAGUACGGCCGCAAGGCUAAAACUCAAAGGAAUUGACGGGAACCCGCACAAGCGGUGGAGCAUGUGGUUUAAUUCGACGAUAAGCGAGGAACCUUACCAAGGCUUGACAUGUCUGGAAUCCAGCUGAAAGGUUGGAGUGCCGCAAGGAGCCAGAACACAGGUGCUGCAUGGCUGUCGUCAGCUCGUGUCGUGAGACGUCGGGUUAAGUCCUUUAACGAGCGCAACCCCUGUCUCGUGUUAAAUGUUCACGAGAGACUGCCUGGGUAACCAGGAGGAAGGUGGGGAUGACGUCAAGUCAGCAUGACCCUUACGCCUUGGGCUACACACGUGCUACAAUGGAGCCAACAACGGGACGCCAAGUCGCGAGACGGAGCAAAUCCCUUAAAUGGCCCCUCAGUUCGGAUCGGAGUCUGCAACUCGACUCCGUGAAGCUGGAAUCGCUAGUAACCGUGGAUCAGCCUCGCCACGGUGAAUACGUUCUCGGGUUUUGUACACACCGCCCGUCACGUCAAGAGAGUUGGCGAUACCCGAAUUCCCAGCCCGGGAAGAAGGUAGCGCUGAUGAUGGGGACG
rnacentral:rRNA from 1 species